UCCAGACCUCAAAGACCCACUAGAUCAAGCC
rnacentral:piRNA from 1 species